rnacentral:rRNA from 1 species
AUACGGAGGGUGCAAGCGUUACUCGGAAUCACUGGGCGUAAAGCGCGCGCAGGCGGCUUGAUAAGUUGGAUGUGAAAGCCUACGGCUCAACCGUAGAACUGCAUCCAAAACUGUCAGUCUAGAGUCUGGGAGGGGAAGAUGGAAUUAGUUGUGUAGGGGUAAAAUCCGUAGAGAUAACUAGGAAUACCAAAAGCGAAGGCGAUCUUCUGGAACAGUACUGACGCUGAGGCGCGAAAGCGUGGGGAGCAAACAGGAUUAGAAACCCCAGUAGUCC